AUAGGGCUUCGCUGGUGGCUCAGGGGUAAAGAAUCCGCCUGCCAAUGCAGAAGAUAGGGGUUUGGUCCCUGGUCCAGGAAGAUCUCACGUGACACGGAGCAGUUAAGCCCGAGUUCUAGAGCCCACAGCUACUGAGCCUGUGAUGUGGAGCCAAAGAGCGGCAACGACUGAGCCCACGCGCCGCAGCUGCUGAAGCCUGCGUGCCAGGGCACAGUGCUCGGAGCCAUGCAGUCAGCGGCCCCCGCACCACGGCUGGAGAAGAGCCUGUGCCGCAGCCGAGACCCGCACAGCCAAAAUAGAGAAGGUCAUAUCCAGCUCUACCACCCCAUGGAUGGUAACCCGCAGACUCCUCGGUCCUGAGGAUAUAGUGAAGAGCAAACAAACAGGGGACCUGUUUUCAAUUGAGCCUAAAUUCUUGCAACAGAAACCAAAGAUAAAGUUUGAAAGUAGAGACUUGUGCAUAGAAAACUGUUAGCUAUCAGAAAAGUCAAAAGAAUAGUAUGGUGACCACUUACAUACCACCUACCUAGAUUCAGAUUAAUCUAAAGCAUUAUUUUUGUCCUGUCCUCCCCUAAGGCACUAAAGUCCAAUGACUCUUCUAAUAUUUCGGUACAGUUCAGUCUUCCUCAACGUUUGCUUUAGGAGCUGACCAUCACUUGAGCACUACCAUGUGGCAGGCCAGGCCUAAUUUUGACAACCGUAAGACCAGCCUUCUUGAAAGCUCCAGGAAUGAUCUUAAUAUAUGGAAUGUGUUUCCUGUCAGAGAAAUGUUGGACAAAUUUUCUAUGGAGGGUUGUGGGAUCUACUGUAAACUUUUGAAGGAAAGACUUCUCUCCUUUUGGUACAUAUCUAAAGUUCUAGCAGUUCAGCCUGACUCAGUGACACACUGCAAUCAGUGGGCCUGGAGUUUCACACUUUGACAUCCCUCCCACGGACUAGAAUGUGCCUGCACAAUAAGAAAAGAACUUGCCAAGAUGCAAUAUCCAUUGACCUGUGCCAGGCAAUGCCUAGUGUUAUGGUCGACCAGAGGUUACCCAAUGGCAUUCAGGUAAUUCUAACAGCUACUAAAAUAGGUUUGUUCACCAGAAAAUUUCAAACAGGCCCUUUAAAAUAUGAUAAGAUAAUGUGGGUUGUCAUAUC
rnacentral:lncRNA from 1 species